AGGACGAACGCUGGCGGCGCGCUUAAAACAUGCAAGUCGAGCGCCGUAGCAAUACGGAGCGGCAGACGGGUGAGUAACACGUGGGAACGUACCCUUUGGUUCGGAACAACACAGGGAAACUUGUGCUAAUACCGGAUAAGCCCUUACGGGGAAAGAUUUAUCGCCAGAGGAUCGGCCCGCGUCUGAUUAGCUAGUUGGUGGGGUAACGGCCCACCAAGGCUACGAUCAGUAGCUGGUCUGAGAGGAUGAUCAGCCACACUGGGACUGAGACACGGCCCAGACUCCUACGGGAGGCAGCAGUGGGGAAUAUUGGACAAUGGGGGCAACCCUGAUCCAGCCAUGCCGCGUGAGUGAUGAAGGCCUUCGGGUUGUAAAGCUCUUUUGGCGGGACGAUGAUGACGGUACCGCAGAAUAAGCCCGGCUAACUUCGUGCCAGCAGCCGC
rnacentral:rRNA from 1 species